rnacentral:lncRNA from 1 species
UUCUUAAUCUUAUCUAACCUGGUGAGCCCGCACAUCCACCUGAGCAUCCUCAUCUCCGCAACCUGCAUUCUCUGAACAUAAGAGUUCUUCACUGGCCAGCACUCCGCCCCAUACAACAUUGCAGGUCUAACCACAACUCUAUAAUAUUUCCCCUUGAGUUUCUGAGGAACUUUCUUGUCACACAGGACUCCUGAUGCAAGACUCCGCUUUGACCACCCCGCUCCUAUACGAUGAGUGAAGUCCCCGUCAAUCUCUCCGUCCCCCUAAAUUACCGACCCAAGAUAUCUGACAUUGUCCCUCUUGGCGAUGACGUGGGAUCCAAUCAUCAUGUCCCUGCCUACUUCGCUCGGCUCGGCGCUAAACUUG